AUUAAUUCCUUGUCUAUUUCCGAGUUCAAUUUGAAAGUUAUUCAUCCACGACAUUUGCUUCAUUUUGCAGAUCAUCUAUAUCCAUGGCUUCAAGAAACUGUACGGACAGACCAAGAAAGUGUUGGUGGAUGCCGUGAAUACGCUUGAUCUAAUGGAUUUGCCGAGAUCCACACUCAACCAGAGUGUGUCUGCCUCCGCGACUCUCCCAUUGGAGGACGUAAUCGCUGAUCUCAACGAACUAGGCUGGCAAGAGUGCUGUGUUACCUCUGUUUACACCCUCAGUUCUUGCCCAGAGAACUCCCUCCCUCUUGAGCAGAAACCGCAAGUCACCAAACACUUGCAGAGCAGUUCUCGAACCAAGACUUCGGAAAAGUCAAUGGACGCUAAUAAAAUCAGUGGCGGCCUCCCUAAAGCUUCCCAAAAUGGCCGGCGAGCCCCGAAAAUGGCGAACAAGCGCAAGAGGAUCAAUGGCUGUGAUGCUCUUGACUGUGCUUCGACCAUGGAUUCGGCCGUCUCGCUCGCCUCUAAUUGAAUGUGAUGGUUCGUUCCCCCCCCCUCCCCCCGCAUGUACUUCAAUUUCUACUCAUAAUGCUGUUGCUAGAUGUUUCCAUUGUUAAUUUGUACCUUUUUGACUUUUUCCUUAUUAUUUUUGCUUGGAAAAAAGUUGGAUUACACAGUAGCUGGAGAAUGCAUCCACAACUUUAUAUCAAUAUUAUUUCCAUGUCCCGGUGGUCAAGCUCAAAGGGAAUUGAAGUUAGGCUACCAAAAAGAACAAUGAAUUUGUUUACUGGCGACGUACGAACUCUACAUCAAAGAUAGAGAUUGGCGAUGAGGACCGAGACUACCAUUCCAGUGGCUUCGCGUAGUGCCA